CCUGGUUGAUCCUGCCAGUAGUCAUAUACUUGUCUCAAAGAUUAAGCCAUGCAUGUGUAAGUAUGAACUAAUUCAGACUGUGAAACUACAAAUGGCUCAUUAAAUCAGUUAUAGUUUGUUUAAUGGUAUCUACUACUCGGAUAACCAUAGUAAUUCUAGAGUUAAUACGUGCAACAAACCCCAACUUCUGGAAGGGAUGCAUUGAUUAGAUAAAAGGUCGACGCGGCUAUGCCCAUUGCUCUGAUGAUUCAUGAUAACUCGAUAGAUUGCAUGACCUUUGUGCCAAUGAUGCAUCAUUCAAAUUUUUGCCCUAUCAACUUUCAAUGGUAGGAUAGUGGCCUACUAUGGUGGUGACGGGUGACGAAAAAUUAGGGUUCAAUUCCAAAGAGGGAGCCUGAGAAAUGGCUACCACAUCCAAGGAAGGCAGCAGGUGCACAAAUUACCCAGUCCUGACAUGGGGAGGUAGUGACAAUAAAUAACAAUAUCGAGCUCUAUGAGUCUGGUAAUUGGAAUAAGUACAAUCUAAAUCCCUUAAUGAAGAUCCAUUAGAGGGCAAGUCUGUUGCCAGCAGCCACGAUAAUUCUAGCUCCAAUAGCGUAUAUUUAAGUUAUUACAAUUAAAAAGCUCGUAGUUGGAACUAGGGUUGGGUUGUUCGAUCUGCCACACAGUGAGUACUGGUCUACUCAUCCCUACUGCUAGUGAUGUGCUCCUGGACUUAAUUAUCCGGGUCAUUCCUCCGACGCUGUUACUUUGAAGAAAUUAGAGUGCUUAAAGCAGGCCUACGAUUGUAUUCAUUAGCAUGGGAUAACAUCAUAGGAUUUCAGUCUUAUUGUGUUGGCUUUUGGGAUCAGAGUAAUGAUUAAUAGGGAUAGUUGGAGGCAUUCGUAUUUCAUAGUCAAAGGUGAAAUUCUUGGAUUUAUGAAAAAUGAACAACUGUAAAAGCAUUUGCCAACGAUGUUUUCAUUAAUUAAGAACAAAAGUUGGGAGCUUAAAGAUGAUCAGAUACCAUUCUAGUCUCAACCAUAAACGAUGCCAACCAUGGAUCGGUGGAUGUUACUUUUAGGACUUCGUCAGCACCUUAUGAGAAAUCAAAGUCAUUGGGUUCUGGAGGGAUUAUGGUCGCAAGGCUGAAACUUAAAGGAAUUGAUGAAAGGGCACCAUUAGGAAUGGAGCCUGCAACUUAAUUUGACUCAACACAGGGAAACUUACCAGGUCUAGACAUAGUAAGGAUUGACAGACUAAAAGCUCUUUCUUGAUUCUAUGGGUGGUGGUGCAUGGCCGUUCUUAGUUCAUGAAGCGAUUUGUCUAGUUAAUUCUGUUAACGAAUGAGACCUCAGCCUACUAACUAGCUACGUAGAGGUGAUCCCUUGUGGCUAGCUUCUUAGAGGGACUAUGGCCAUUUAGGCCAAAGAACUUUGAGGCAAUAAUAGGUUUGUGAUGCCCUUAGAUGUUCUGGGCCUCACACAUGCUACACUGAUGUAUUCAACGAGUCUAUAGCUUUGGCCAACAGGCUUGGGUAAUCUUUGAAAUUUCAUCAUGAUAGGGAUAGAUCAUUAUAAUUGUUAGUCUUCAACGAGGAAUUCCUAGUAAGUGCGGGUCAUCAGCUCGCGUUGACUACGUCACUGCCCCUUGUACACACCACCCGUCACUCCUACCAAUUGAAUGGUCUGAUGAAGUGUUCAGAUCAUGGCGAUGUGGAUGGUUCACCAUCCACGAUGUCGCGAGAAGUCCAUUGAACCUUAUCAUUUAGAGAAAGGAGAAGUCGUAACAAGGUUUCUGUAGGUGAACCUGCAGAAA
rnacentral:rRNA from 1 species